rnacentral:lncRNA from 1 species
CCGCGCGGCGGAAAAGUAUCAGCGAGCACUUCCGGCUCAUCUUCAGAUUGAGUGUGUUGUUGACUCGGGAUCUCUCUGUCAUUGUUUUCUCGUUAUUCUCUUUUCUCUGUAAAUGUCGCAAUGAUGUAGAUAAGGAGAGUUUUCUCGGCCGCUUCAUGACACGCGCUACCGGCCUCCGUCCCCGCGGGAAUCGGCCUGAAGACUGUGAGGAGUGAACGACA